CAGGAUGAACGCUGGCGGCGUGCCUAAUACAUGCAAGUCGAACGAGUUCUGAUUAUUGAAAGGUGCUUGCAUCUUGAUUUAAUUUUGAACGAGUGGCGGACGGGUGAGUAACACGUGGGUAACCUGCCCUUAAGUGGGGGAUAACAUUUGGAAACAGAUGCUAAUACCGCAUAAAUCCAAGAACCGCAUGGUUCUUGGCUGAAAGAUGGCGUAAGCUAUCGCUUUUGGAUGGACCCGCGGCGUAUUAGCUAGUUGGUGAGGUAACGGCUCACCAAGGCAAUGAUACGUAGCCGAACUGAGAGGUUGAUCGGCCACAUUGGGACUGAGACACGGCCCAAACUCCUACGGGAGGCAGCAGUGGGGAAUCUUCCACAAUGGACGCAAGUCUGAUGGAGCAACGCCGCGUGAGUGAAGAAGGCUUUCGGGUCGUAAAACUCUGUUGUUGGAGAAGAAUGGUCGGCAGAGUAACUGUUGUCGGCGUGACGGUAUCCAACCAGAAAGCCACGGCUAACUACGUGCCAGCAGCCGCGGUAAUACGUAGGUGGCAAGCGUUAUCCGGAUUUAUUGGGCGUAAAGCGAGCGCAGGCGGUUUUUUAAGUCUGAUGUGAAAGCCCUCGGCUUAACCGAGGAAGUGCAUCGGAAACUGGGAAACUUGAGUGCAGAAGAGGACAGUGGAACUCCAUGUGUAGCGGUGAAAUGCGUAGAUAUAUGGAAGAACACCAGUGGCGAAGGCGGCUGUCUGGUCUGUAACUGACGCUGAGGCUCGAAAGCAUGGGUAGCGAACAGGAUUAGAUACCCUGGUAGUCCAUGCCGUAAACGAUGAAUGCUAGGUGUUGGAGGGUUUCCGCCCUUCAGUGCCGCAGCUAACGCAUUAAGCAUUCCGCCUGGGGAGUACGACCGCAAGGUUGAAACUCAAAGGAAUUGACGGGGGCCCGCACAAGCGGUGGAGCAUGUGGUUUAAUUCGAAGCAACGCGAAGAACCUUACCAGGUCUUGACAUCUUUUGAUCACCUGAGAGAUCAGGUUUCCCCUUCGGGGGCAAAAUGACAGGUGGUGCAUGGUUGUCGUCAGCUCGUGUCGUGAGAUGUUGGGUUAAGUCCCGCAACGAGCGCAACCCUUAUGACUAGUUGCCAGCAUUUAGUUGGGCACUCUAGUAAGACUGCCGGUGACAAACCGGAGGAAGGUGGGGAUGACGUCAAAUCAUCAUGCCCCUUAUGACCUGGGCUACACACGUGCUACAAUGGAUGGUACAACGAGUUGCGAGACCGCGAGGUCAAGCUAAUCUCUUAAAGCCAUUCUCAGUUCGGACUGUAGGCUGCAACUCGCCUACACGAAGUCGGAAUCGCUAGUAAUCGCGGAUCAGCACGCCGCGGUGAAUACGUUCCCGAGCCUUGUACACACCGCCCGUCACACCAUGAGAGUUUGUAACACCCGAAGCCGGUGGCGUAACCCUUUUAGGGAGCGAGCCGUCUAAGGUGGGACAAAUG
rnacentral:rRNA from 1 species